rnacentral:rRNA from 1 species
CAGUAGCCGCGGUAAUACGUAGGUCCCGAGCGUUGUCCGGAUUUAUUGGGCGUAAAGCGAGCGCAGGCGGUUUGAUAAGUCUGAAGUUAAAGGCUGUGGCUCAACCAUAGUUCGCUUUGGAAACUGUCAAACUUGAGUGCAGAAGGGGAGAGUGGAAUUCCAUGUGUAGCGGUGAAAUGCGUAGAUAUAUGGAGGAACACCGGUGGCGAAAGCGGCUCUCUGGUCUGUAACUGACGCUGAGGCUCGAAAGCGUGGGGAGCGAACAGGAUUAGAGACCCCUGUAGUCCCUGUCUCUUAUACC